UCCGUGGCUGACGUGAAGCCACCCAAGCCCUUCCACAGCAGCACCGGCUCCAUGCCCGGGCCCAGGGAGGUCGGAGGGCAGGGCACCAUUCCCACCUGCUGCACAGCCAAGGCCCGGGCAGAAGUGUGUGGGAGAGAGCGGCCUUGCUGUCGAAGACCUGCAUUUGAACUCCAACCACGGGGCCCUGGGCAAGUCUCUCCACCUCUGUGAGCCUCAGUGUACUCAUCUAGAAAAUGGUCAUGCACCCGAUAUUUCCUAUUUGCCUCAGAUGCUACUAUAAAUAUGAUUCUCCUUCCCAUUUGACAUAUGGGGAAGGGUGGCCAAGCAGUUGCCUGAGAUCAGCAUGCUAGAGAGGAAACCGAGGCACAGAGAGCUUGAGCAUCUCGCCCGUAGUCACGCAGUUAAGUGGUGAAGCCGGCAUUUAAACCCUGGCAGGCAGCACAGUCUCCUGGAUCUAGAUUAAAACAACAGCUAAACUUCCAAGCUCUGCUGAUUCCCAGCUGCAAGACUGGGACAAAUAGUUAACCUCGUGUGUAAAUGGGAAUACAGAUCAAAUCUAGUUUAUAGGAUUGUUGUGAGGAUUAAAAAUUAAUAAUAUAAAGUCCUGACCCACAGUAAGAGCUACAGAGUAUUAUCAUCAUUACUCUUCUCCAAAACAACUCUAUACAAAUGAUUAUACCCACUGAAUGGAUGAGGCUUUUUGGCAAAAGAGGGCCAGUCACUUGCCGGAGGACGCAGAGCUGGGAUUCAAGCCCACCACUGCUUGGAUCUGGCACCAGAAUUCAAAGCACAUACUCUUAACCUUAAAUGUUACUGCUGGGGGGUUGGAGGGAAAAAUCCACCUAGCCCCCUUCUCAUCAGCAGGGACUCCCUCUGCCCUCCCCAGAACAGCCCUGGUCCCUGUACAGCUAG